GGCGGGUGUUCUUUGUGUGCUCUGGGAUGACUUACCACACAGGAUGUGGCCGGAGAAGGGAAAGGACAACACUGCACUCUUUCAUGUCCCAUUUCUGAAGUCUGGAACGUGGCGGCUUCUUAAUUCUGCUAAAAGGACAAUGAAAGUUCCAUGGGAUACAAAGUCCCAAGAGCGAGCCUCUGCAGUGAUGCUAAUAUUUCAGAUUGAACUUCCUGCCUCUGCUUGAGUGCUGAAAUAUUGUGAAGUUUAUGCAAAGAAAGCGGUCGGCCUGAGACACUUAACGAAGCCACAUGGAGUCAGCAGCCAGAAAAAAACAUCCUCACGAUGACUCCACAGUCUGCGAAACAUGGGAAGGAUUCUGGCGUGGUGCUCUCGCUCAUCCUGUGUGUACAAUACCACGCUUACAGGAGAGCUAAUAAUAUGCUCCCGGGGCCUGCUCAGCACUGAGGAAAGUGCCUGUCAGUGGUUUCGCUUGCUUUGCUCUCAACACUGCCUGGUUUUGGCCGUCUGUCAUAUUCUGAUGGAGUGCUGGGUUCGGCGUAUUCAACUACCUUCUGGCUUGGGCAAGAACAGCUCACAUGGCAAAACAAAAGGGUAUAAAUACCACCCAAACCUUCCUGCCGCAGCGCCUGCAUUCUGUGGAAAAUAGCUGAAGGCACGAGAAACCCACGGCAAAACGAGGGUUCUCACGGUAUAUUAAUGACUCUCGAGUGAACGUGGUGUGCUGUGGGAUAGCGGUCCCCAUGAGGGCAGCCAAGUUCAUAAGGUUUUCGGAGUGUCUUCGAGCUUGUCUGGCCUUGCUCUAAUUUUGGAAGAGGAAUGCAGGUGACCCGAUCGUCAUCCACAGGAAUGUUCGUUGCCAGAACACCGCGAGUGGACACGAGUUACGCAGAAGUCACACAAACUCCAGCAUGGUGCUAUCUGCAACCAGAGUAAUAAAUGUGGUUCUGAAAAAACGCUGAUAGACUGCUGGAGCAUUACAAGUUUCAGCGCUGGAGGCUGGAUGAAUGGGGGAAAGCCAAGCACAUGAACUCUGUUGACAUUCAGCAAUUCAACUUGCAUUUUCUCUGAAGCUUCCUAAAAUAACAGUCUUUUAAAACAGGUUUUUCUGCUGGGAUUUGUAAUCGCUUGAACAUCAAAAGGCACAAUCGUUUACAGAGCUCUGUUCUUUUUAGCAUCGCUUCAGCUUGGCAAUAACAAGAGGAAUUUCAGUGUGUUUAUAAGUUCAGAUAAACACUCAGUGACUCAUUGAUUUUCUUCAGGAAUAUCAUGGAUGCUGAUCUGAAAAGUGGGCGUUAUUUGGAAAAUCGGUUUUUGGACUGUUAAUUUCGAAUUCUGUGUGAGUUGUUCAAUACGGUAUAGAUUGUGUAGGAGCAAAAACAUCUGUUUUAGCAGUAUUAAUAAACUUUUCACUGGUGUCUGAAAAGUUAGUGAGCUGCCUUCUUAGACAGGAUGUUUGGAAUGCGCUUGUGAUACUUUAAGUAGGCAGCUCUUUUGUUUUAUUUAUUUUCUCUCUACCUGAGUGGCUCAAUAUGUAUGACAUCCAAAAAUGCUCACUAGGCAUGAUUCCCAAAAAAAGUUGUGAAGGAAGGCAGCUCAAUUGACAUGGUCCCUAAACCUGCUGCCUACCCAGAUAGCACACGCAUGUCUGCAAGAUGUCUGUUAAAGAUUACUUGAUCUGGAAAGCAUCUGCAGACGUGAAAUACACAUCUCUGUGAUAUAUGUGUGCUAUCAGCGUACUGUAGCUCACUUUGCAUGAUGCCCAAAACAUGCUGUCUAGGUAGGCAGCUCAAUAUGAUGUCCAAAACUGGUGUUUACAUAGGCAGCUCACUAAAUAUGAUGCCCAAAAAUUGUUCUCUAGGAGAGGUAGCUCACUAGGCACAAUUCCCAAAACUGGUGUCUACUUCAACACCCUUACUAUCUAGGUGGGCAGCAUACUAGAUGUGAUGCCCAAAAUGAUUGAGUAGGUAGGCAUAUCACUAGGUUUUACACCCAUAAAUACUGUAUAGUUAGGUAGCACAUGAGCACAUGCUGUCUUGUGUACCCUUACAAAAAAUAUGUUUAUUCAAGUGUGCUAUUAGUAUACUUCUUUUAAACUAAAAAUAGGAAAGUAUGUUUGUAGUUUACUUUUUUAUGUACUUCUCAUAAAUGGGUUUUAUGUACUUCUCAGAAAUAUACUUAAAAUUACAUUUAAGUAUACUUGACUUAUACUUACAAAAAGUCUAAUUAUAUUUGAACCAUACCUGUGCUCCUAGAAUCUGUGUUUUCAGUGUUAUACGGUAGAGGGCGCUAGUACACAUCUUCUGUACAGAAUUUCCAAAAAAAAACACAAGUGAAGAAGAAAAAGAAACAACAGAUACUAACACAUGUAAUCUAACACGACCAUCUGACAUGAAACAGCAUCAAAACUGUAUGAAUAAAAUGUCGACCGAUGAAGAGGUUAUAAUUACAGUCAAGCUUUGGGGUGUUGAUCGACUCCAUCUAUGUUUUGAUUAUCAUUCUGAAUCCAAUUCAGUCUUUUUUCAGCUUUUUGUUCAAAAUGGUAUUUCUUUAUUUUUUUUAAUGAAACUUACCCACAUUAAAGUGUUUAAAAAAAUAAUGCAUGAAGCUAGAAUAAAAUGUUUUUGUUUACAAGCAUAUACCCUGCUCUUUCUUUGGAUGUUUUGUAUGUUCAGAUAUUCA
ensembl:lncRNA